rnacentral:rRNA from 1 species
CGCUCGUCUCAAAGAUUAAGCCAUGCAUGUGUAAGUAUAAAUAAUUUUACUUUGAAACUGCGAAUGGCUCAUUAUAUCAGUUAUAGUUUAUUAGAAAUAUUUUACUACUUGGAUAACCGUAGUAAUUCUAGGGCUAAUACAUGAGUAAAACCUCAACUUCGGAAGAGGUGUGUUUAUUAGUAUGAAAACCAUAUAUCUUCGGAUAUAAUAGUGAGUAAUAAUAACCUUUCAUAUCGUAUGUCGUAAGAUAACGAUAGUUCUUUCAAGUUUCUGCCCUAUCAGCUUUCGAUGGUAGUAUAUGGGACUACCAUGGCAGUAACGGGUAACGAAGAAUUUGGGUUCGAUUUCGGAGAGGGAGCCUGAGAGAUGGCUACCACAUCCAAGGAAGGCAGCAGGCGCGUAAAUUACCCAAUCCUGACAUAGGGAGGUAGUGACAAUAAAUCACAAUGCGGAACUUUUAGUUUUGCAAUUGGAUUGAGAACAAUGUACAAAUGUUAUC